rfam:Brachypodium distachyon strain Bd21 chromosome 3, whole genome shotgun sequence.
UAGCUACUCCCUCCGAUCCUAAAUUGUUGUCGAAAUUAUACAUGUAUCUAGACGCUUUUUAAAAAUAGAUACAUCCAUAUUUGGACAAAUUUGAGUCAAGAAUUUAGGAUCAGAGGGAGUAUAUG